rnacentral:rRNA from 1 species
GACGUAGGAGGCGAGCGUUGUCCGGAAUUAUUGGGCGUAAAGGGCUCGUAGGCGGUUUGUCACGUCGGGAGUGAAAACUCAGGGCUUAACCCUGAGCCUGCUUCCGAUACGGGCAGACUAGAGGUAUGCAGGGGAGAACGGAAUUCCUGGUGUAGCGGUGAAAUGCGCAGAUAUCAGGAGGAACACCGGUGGCGAAGGCGGUUCUCUGGGCAUUACCUGACGCUGAGGAGCGAAAGUGUGGGGAGCGAACAGG